rnacentral:rRNA from 1 species
UACGUAGGGGGCUAGCGUUGUCCGGAAUCAUUGGGCGUAAAGAGCGUGUAGGCGGCCCGGUAAGUCCGCUGUGAAAGUCGGGGGCUCAACCCUCGAAUGCCGGUGGAUACUGUCGGGCUAGAGUGCGGAAGAGGCGAGUGGAAUUCCCGGUGUAGCGGUGAAAUGCGCAGAUAUCAGGAGGAACACCAAUUGCGAAGGCAGCUCGCUGGGACGUAACUGACGCUGAGACGCGAAAGCGUGGGGAGCAAACAGG